UCUCCCUUUUUCUCCUCUCCACUCCCUUUCGCGUUUUCUGGGGUCUUCUUUGUCCGGCCAUAUCUUCCUCCACAUGCCUCCAAUCGACUUGAUUCCAAAAACAAUUUUUCUCGCCUUGAUGUCUUCUACAACUUCUCAGAAGACAUCGGGGUGAAAAACGAACUGUGGAGGGCGCUGCAAGGCCAAGAAGCCUCAUAGCUCGAGCUGAAAAUCGCCUCCCUUCACCGGAUGAUAUCUCCCACGUCCGGCGUCCAAUCGAUGUGAUUCCAGCUGGGCUAAGAUCGCCUCCCCUUCCUCUACACGUUGGUACCCGUGGGUCUCUGCGAUUUGACCCGAAAACCAUGAAUUCCGGCAAUCACCGUUACUGUAGCAAUUGGAGUUUUCAGGCAAAUCUCCCAAUUCCGGCCAUCUCCGGCCACCAAACCAAGUCCAAUAGAGGCGCCUCGAGCCAGUGAUCAUUUGCCCCUCAAGCUGCUAGCUCCAAUUCAUAGCGAGGAAGGAGAAUCGAAGAGAUGUUCAAAUCGAGGGUUUUGAAUUUUCUAGAAAUUUUUCACCGGCCGAAUUGGAGCUCUUCAAGGGCAAUGUACUUGAUCAUCGGAAUAAAACUGCGAAAUUAGUUGAGGUCGGGCGUACAUGGAGUUGAGGCAUAGUCAAC